UUGAUCUGUGUUACUUACAGUUUCAAAAGUGUUUUAUAAUGUCCUUUGAAGAGAAAACACAUAAUAGUGCACACACGUUUUUAUUACACAGUGGUUUCUCCUUGUUCAAGGAUGCUUGCAUUUGUAAACGAAAAUAGUGUGGCAAUGUCAAACGUAGGCUAAUAAAAUCAU